AGGCCGACAUAAGCGCCAGCGCUCAUACAGCCGACGGAUGUUUCCCGCCGGCUUGUCGCUGCUCUUUUUGAAGGCGGCGGCGAACAUGAGACGACGAGGCGGAGAGUGAUCGAAGUAUUCGGCGGAUGCUCUCCCGUGCCGUCCGGGUGCGUACACAGUCAGCAAAUAUGCGGGUGACCGCAAAACAGAGAGGCUGUGACCGGAUGUG
rnacentral:ncRNA from 2 species